CCUCCGGGUUUGGGGGAAGGCCGAGUCCCGCAGUAACAUGACGUGCAGGCCAGCACCCACCGUGAGCAGCACGUCGCCCCCGGGGAGCGGGCCUAAGACCGGAGGCCUCCUGUGCCGUCACAGUGGCCGUGACUCCGUGUCCUUUGCCUGUGAAGUCUUGGAAGAGCAGGGAGCCCAGGAAAAUGGAGAGGCCUGAAGGCCUGGGGCGGAGGAACACACGCCGGAGUGCCCGGGAUGUCUCUGCUCUUCAUCCUGAUCUCUGGUGCUGGCCAACUCUUCGGACAGGAAAAUACAUGCGAUGGCGGUGGACAAAUCAUGCGCCCACUGUAGGUUGUGCAGGCAGACUCGCCAAAGCAGGCAGCCAGAGGGAGCGGGGCCUUGUGACGGAGCCCACUGGGAUGCAAAGCCGCGGUCACCUUGCUAUGAAGGUUUCCUACCCUCCCCCUGACCCUCCAGAGCCUGGAGAGUACUGCUCUCCGGACACUCUGAAUGUGGUCUUCCUGCCCUUGUUAGGACAAGUCUACCCCGAUGCGUGGGCCGCACGCUGGCUGAUGAGUCCCCUCACCGGACGGGGGGCGGGGGGAGUGGCUUGCGUCCCUGGGAAGCCUGCGGGCCGCCACAUACACACACGCACAGGCACUCGCACACAUGCACACACGGAAACACACACACAUACACACAGAGACACACACAG